rnacentral:lncRNA from 1 species
UCUUAUGAUCUCCUUUGUGAAUAAGCCGCUACAGAUAUUUUUUUUCUAUAUUUUAUUUAAUUGUGUCAAGAACUUGGUUAGUUUUGGUCUGUUAAAAUUUCUUGUUAAAUUUACUCGACUUGAUUGAACUUGAUGCCAAUCAGAAGAAAUUACUGAUUGAAUGUAUUGGUGCAUGAAAACACUAGAUAGUAAAUGUGAGUGUUUGUAUGGUUCCUUGAGAUAUCUACGGUCAUAAACUCAAAAUUAAAGACCUUAUAGAGAUCCAUGUACUUCUCAUUUUAUGUAUUUAUUUUCCCUAGGCUGGGGAUAGAAUCUAUAUUUCUAAACUUUAUCUGAUGGUGUAGAUUCAAAAUAUUGUAGUGGUCAAACCACUCGACCAAAGAGCCACUGCCCUCACAAUUGUGAGGGCAGCAGUUCGAGUCCCCACAAAGCAUUAUGGGGGUUUCUAUCCCUUCCCAAUUAUGGAUAAUAUUUUAGUGAAGACAGUUUUCUCCCUUUCGAAAUGAGAGUGGAGUAGACGUCCUCGAAUAUUAGAGAGGGUUAAAGAUCUGAGCAGUGCUAUAUAAGAUUUCAUGUAAGACUAGUCUCGGUAAUUGUCUGAAUGUAAAUAACUUGAAAAAUAGGUUUGCACAGAAUUAAUUAUUCUGUCAUUGAGAUUGUUCUUUUAUAGAGAUUUACAGCACACAUAAAACUAUUAAAUCAGGAAAUUAAAUCACUGAUUUAAGGAAAGAAUAAUUUCUAGGUAGAUUUUCCUAAAAUACAUAGAUUUGCACCUAAAUAGCUAUGUUACAGCUAAUAUAUAAUUACAACACAUUUUUUUUCUAAUUUUCUAACACUCCCCCUCAAGCUGGUUUGAAGAUAUCCUCCAUAGCCAGCUUGCCAACUAGAAAAUUGAAUUGUUUUGUGUGUAGUCCUUUGGUAAAGACAUCAGCCACUUGUUCUCCAGUAGGAAUGUGCUCUAUAUGAACCAAUCCAUUAUCUAUCUUCUCCUUGAUGAAAUGCUUGUCAAUCUCCACAUGUUUUGUGCGGUCAUGAAGGACUGGAUUGUGUGCUAUUGAGAUUGCUGCCUUGUUGUCACAGUACAACUUCAUAGGAGAUGAUUUUGUCGCUUUUAACUCUUCCAACAGCCUCCUAAUCCACAUGAUCUCACAAAUACCAUGGGCUACAGCUCUAAAUUCAGCCUCAGCACUGCUCCUAGCUACCACAUUCUGUUUCUUGCUUCUCCAUGUAACCAAAUUACCACCUACAAAUGAACAGUAUCCAGAAGUGGAUCUUCGGUCUACUAUGCUUCCAGCCCAAUCUGCGUCUGUGUAGGCUUCAAUCUGCAAGUGUCCUUGUGGCUUAAACAUAAGUCCUUUGCCCGGUGUCCUUUUUAGAUACUUUAAAAUUCUGUAGACAGCUUCAAAGUGUGCCGGUCCUGGGACAUGCAUAAAUUGGCUAACCAUACUAACAGAGAAGGAUAUAUCUGGGCGUGUAUGGGAUAGAUAAAUCAUUCUCCCAACAACUCUCUGAUAAUGCUCCUUAUUCUUCACAUUCUCAGCUUCUGCAGGUUGCAGUUUCACAUUAGGUUCUAUAGGGGUUUCAACAGGUUUACACCCUAGCAUACCUGUCUCGUUUAACAAGUCGAUAACAUACUUCUUCUGAUUUACAAAAAUGCCUUCUCUAGAUCUAGCAAACUCCAUCCCAAGAAAGUAUUUUAAUGCUCCGAGAUCUUUAAUCUCAAACUCCUCAGCCAAUUUCUUUUUUAACUUUGCUAGCUCAUCACAAUCAUCCUCAGUUAACACGAUAUCAUCCACGUAUACUACAAGAUAGCUAUUUUACCAUCAUUUGAAUGCUUGUAAAACAUUGUAUGAUCAGCUUGACUUUGAAUAUAUGCAUAGCGCUUAAUCACCUUGCCAAAGCGCUCAAACCAAGCUCUUGGUGACUGUUUAAGUCCAUACAAGGACUUCUUCAAUCUGCACACUCUCCCAUUUCCACACCUUUCUUCAAAGCCUGGUGGGGAACUUAUAUAUACCUCUUCCUCAAGGUCUCCAUUAAGGAAAGCAUUUUUAACGUCCAAUUGGUGUAAGGGCCAAUUAGAGUUAACAGCAAAAGACAACAGGACCCUAAUUGAGUUGAUUUUAGCUACCGGAGCAAAGGUCUCUUGGUAAUCUAUCCCAUAGGUUUGAGUAAAACCUUUUGCAACAAGACGGGCUUUGUAUCUCUCGACACUCCCAUCUGCCUUACUCUUGAUAGUAAACACCCAUUUGCACCCCACAACUUUUUUUUCCAUUCGGUAAUUCUACCAUCUCCCAAGUAUCAUUCUUCUUCAAGGCAUUCAUCUCUUCAAACACAGCCAACCUCCAAUUCGGAUCACCAAGUGCUUCUUGAAUAUUUUUAGGCACAACAAAUUUUGAAAUGUUUGUAGUGAAAGCUCUAUAAUUGUCAGAAAGGUUUUGAUAGGAAAUAUAUUUGGCAAUAGGAUGUUUGGUACAGGUUCGGGUUCCUUUUCUAAGGGCAAUGGGGAGGUCAAGAUUAAGAUUCUGUUCAAGAAUAACAGGGGCUGGUUCCAAAAUAGAUUCAGGUGCAGAGUUCUCUUCCCUAGAAUUUGAUCGUAAUGGUAAGUUUAAGUCAGUAAUAGGAAAGGAAAAGGAAGGAACAAAAGAAGGAUUACUUGAGGCAUUUGGAUGACCAUUGCUUAGGGCUUUCGGUUGACCACGUGCUUGGAUAAUGGCCUGGUCUCUACCACCUCUAAGGACACCUUUCCUAGAAUAAACCACAGGCUCAAGAUUGUUUCUAUUUUUUUCCAUUCGUAGUAUUUCUUUUUCUGUCAGACCAAUGUCAGAUUCAGUUUCUUUAGGCCUAGUUUCCAAGGUUUCUUUUUCAAAAAAGGUAUCAAGUAGUGUGCUAGGUAAGGGUUCAGCAAUUUCCCAAAAAUUUGGUUCAACUAUCUUCUCCCCCUGAAGCAAAUUUUUGGUAAAGUAUGAUGUAUUUUCUAUGAAAGAAACAUCCAUAGUGACAAAAAAACAUUUUGUAAGGGGAUUAAAGCAUUUGUAACCUUUUUUAUUGGGUGCAUACCCUAUAAAAACACAUUUUUCAGCUCUUGGGUCUAAUUUAGACCUUAGCCUCUUUGGAGUGUGCACAUAUGCUGUGCAACCAAAUAUUUUCAAAGGUAAGUCAGAAUUGAUUCUAGAUUCUGGGAAUACUUUUUUUAAGCAAUCCAACGGGGUGAUAUAUUGUAAAACUUUGGUAGGCAUCCUGUUAAUAAGAUAUGAAGCUGUCAGUAUAGCAUCACCCCAUAGAUACUUUGGAACAUUCAUAUAAAAUAUCAUGGCUCUAGCUACUUCUAACAAGUGCUUGUUCUUACGCUCAACAAUGCCAUUUUGUUCAGGUGUGUCGGAACAAGAGGAUUGGUGUAAAAUUCCUUGUUCAUUUAAAAAAGUUUCCAAAACUUUAUUAAAAUACUCUGUUCCAUUGUCAGAUCUCAAAAUAUUAAUUUUUGUUUGAAACUGAGUUUCAAUCAUCCUAUAAAAUUCUUUAAAAAUCUGUUCUACAUCAUAUUUUUCUCUCAUUAAGUAAACCCAACACAAACGUGUAUGAUCGUCAAUAAAAGUCAAACCAUUUUUUUCCAAAAAUUGUGGUCACUUUUGAAGGACCCCAAACAUCACUGUGGAAUAAAUAAAACGGUCUUGAAGCAUGAUAAGGUUUUGGAAUAUAAGAUUUUCUUUGACUUUUUGCCAUUAAACAACUCUCACAUUGAAAUGAUGAAGGAUCAAUCCCUUUAAAUAGCACUGGAAAUAAAUGUUUUAAAUAAGGAAAACUUGGGUGGCCUAAACGACAAUGCCAAAGCAGAUAAAGAACUAAUACUACUUAGCCCUUGAACUAUUUUAUUACUAAGAAAUUUAUCCUCGAAAUAUUAGAGACCAUUAAUCAUCCUAGCACUGCCAAUCGUCUUCCCCGAGCUCCGGUCCUGCAAAAUGCAAUAAGAUUCAUAGAAAAUAACAGAACAGUUAGAGUCUCUAGAUAGUUUGCUAACUGACAAGAGAUUACAAGCAAGUUUAGGGACAUAGAGAACAAAUUUAAGAUCUACUCUCUCAGAAAGUUUAAUAAGGUCUUUUCCUACAAUUGGUGAGAAAUUACCAUCGGCUAUCCUAACCUUCUUAUUUUCGGGACAUGGUGAAAAAGUCUCAAACAAAUGUAAGGAAUUGGUCAUGUAGUCGGAUGCUCCUGAAUCUAUUAUCCAUGGAGCAUAUUUAAAUUGACAAGAUAGAGCAUAGAAUUUAUUACCUGUGUGUGCCACAGAAACACUGGGAACAUUGGGUACCGAAUUAAAUUUUAACAGUGCAAGAAGAUGCUCCAUCUGCUCUUUGGUGAAGGGGUUGGUCUCAACCUCAUUGGCAAUAGAGUUGGCUCGGCCAGCUUUCCCUUUCCAAUUUGCAGGUUUCCCAUGAAUUUUCCAGCAGGUCUCACAGGUAUGGCAAGGCUUAUGACAAAAAUCACACCAAACUUGCUGUUUUUCAUCAGAUUUGCGUUGCAAAAUAGGAGCCUUGCUUCCAGUCAUGGAGACCAGGGCAGAACCUUCAGCAACCCUAGUUCCCUUCUUGCCAAGCAUCACAUUCCUCCGACUCUCCUCUCUUCUGACCUCUGAAAAAACGUCACCAAUUGAAGGUAGGGGCUGUCUUCCAAUAAUUCUCCCCCUCACCUCAUCAAACUCGACAUUCAGUCCAGCCAAAAACUUAAAAAUGCGGCCAUCCUCUACAGUCUUUUUGUGAUGUUGAGCAUCCUCGGGAGAUUUCCACUCAUAGGUGUUGAAAAGGUCAAGGUCUUGCCAAAUUCGCUUUAAGGAAUUAAAAUAUUUUGUGACAUUGUGCUCCCCUUGUCGCAUCUCUCCGAGUUUGAGGAUCAACUCAAAAAUCUGUGAUUGAUUUCCGAGAUCAGAAUACAUCUGAUUUACAUUCUCCCAAAGCUCUUGUGCUGUUGGAUAGCACAUAUAAUUAGAGCUAAUAUCUUCUUCCAUUGAAUUCACAAGCCACGUCAUCACCAUGGAAUUCUCGGCAUCCCAUGUAACAUAGGCCGGAUCAUCCACUGCAGGAGCCUUCUUUUCACCAGUCAAAUAGCCCAUUUUUCCACGCCCUCUAAUAUACAUCCUAACUAACUGAGACCAUCUCAGAAAAUUGUCACCAUUCAAACGAAUUGUGGUGAUUUGUACAGAAUGAGAUUCUGAGGAGGUAGCACUGAUUUUUGAAACAUCCGUGCUACUAGGAUUGUUCAUAGAGGAUUGAGGGACAGUACUGGAAUUGGAUGAAGAGUCAGACAUGGUUUUAGGGUGCAGGGAUCAAAAGGAAGAAAAAAGGAAUUCCGGCAAGAUAUUCUUCCUGCUCUGAUACCAACUUGAAAAAUAGGUUUGCACAGAAUUAAUUAUUCUGUCAUUGAGAUUGUUCUUUUAUAGAGAUUUACAGCACACAUAAAACCAUUAAAUCAGGAAACUAAAUCACCGAUUUAAGGAAAGAAUAAUUUCUAGGUAGAUUUUCCUAAAAUACAUGGAUUUGCACCUAAAUAGCUAUGUUACAGCUAAUGACUAAUUUACAGCUAAUAUAUAAUUACAGCACAUAUUUUUUCUAAUUUUCUAACAAAAUAUAUCAGUAAUUAUCUCAUGUAAUAUGAGUUGUAAUCUGAGCAUUAGUCUUAUGUAAUUCAAUAUAUAUAUAUAGCGGUCCUUAAUCACAAAGGC